GACCGCUGCUUGGUUCCCACAGGCUUUAGAUUUCUGGGGAGCAUGUACCCGCUUGCAGGGUGCUGAAAACCAUCCUGUGACUGAGGCACUUGCAGCGUUGAGCUUCACGGUCCUCACUCUACUUGGACCAUCUCCAGGUUUUCUCUCUUUAUUAACCCUCACCCAGACAGCGCGGCUGAGGCAGGGGAACCAACAGUAAAGAUGCACCUGGGAUGAGAGGACAAACGGAGGCCCACAAACCAUAUGUCUACACUCCUGAAGACUCUAAAUCCAGCUCACCAACUGUGAGUGCGUUAUAUGAGUUGCUGAAGUUUCAAAGAUGAAGAAGCCAGAAUGCCUGCUCUCAAGAAGGUCAGGCAAAAUAUACCCUUCAUUCCCGGAGGGACCACUGUGAGGAAGGAAACA